GUUUGGAGCUCUGCAAGAGUGUCAAGUAUGGGUCGAACACAUUUGGGUUUCGUCGGCUAUGAUGGUGUUGAACGAUGAUAAUGUCAGAGCGUAAACUUUGGGGUUUUGUUCAGUGGAGAAGAUGAUAGUGAUGGAUUUUGUUCAUUCUCCAUGGACUCACGAACACGAUCACUAGCCCGGGACUUCUUUUGAGGUUAAGGUUAACCGAAGUGGGUGAUGAUGAUGACUAUUUUCUGAAAAGGUUCCAUCCAUAAUCACUUCUCCAAGG